CCCGGGCCGCGGUGGUGGGCUCCGCGCGCCUCGCUCCCGGGCCCCGGCCCCUUCACGGCCGCCGCGGCGGGCGCCACGGGUCUUGAGGCAUAGCUGCAACCAAUGAGAACAAUGCUGGUGGGAAUGGCCUCCGUCGAGUGCCUCGGAGGAAGGCCCCGCAGUGGACCCUGGGCGAUGUGCCACGUUCGGAGCCCUUCUCUGGGGUUGCAAAGGUGAAGGCCAUCGGCCCUCGAGGAACCCGCAGCGGCAAGGAAGAGGGCACCGUGAAAUGCAAACUAUUUAACUUAUGCUCCGUAUGCCUUUGGGGAAGUUGUUUUAGCUCCUAGUAACAACUUCUUCGUCUAUAGUGUAGUAAUAAAGAUACUGAUGUUGGAA